rnacentral:rRNA from 1 species
UACGUAGGGGGCAAGCGUUGUCCGGAUUUAUUGGGCGUAAAGAGCGUGUAGGCGGCCAGGUAGGUCUGCUGUGAAAACUCGAGGCUUAACCUCGAGAUGUCGGCGGAAACCAUCUGGCUAGAGUCCGGAAGAGGAGAGCGGAAUUCCUGGUGUAGCGGUGAAAUGCGCAGAUAUCAGGAAGAACACCCGUGGCGAAGGCGGCUCUCUGGGCCGAUACUGACGCUGAGGAGCGAAAGCAUGGGUAGCGAACAGG